rnacentral:rRNA from 1 species
GCGGCAGGCCUAACACAUGCAAGUCGAACGUGAAGCCACCUUCGGGUGGUGGAAAGUGGCAGACGGGUGAGUAACGCGUGGGAAUCUACCCAAUGGUACGGAAUAACUCAGGGAAACUUGAGCUAAUACCGUAUGUGCCCGAAAGGGGAAAGAUUUAUCGCCAUUGGAUGAGCCCGCGUCGGAUUAGCUAGUUGGUGGGGUAACGGCCCACCAAGGCGACGAUCCGUAGCUGGUCUGAGAGGAUGAUCAGCCACACUGGGACUGAGACACGGGCCAGACUCCUACGGGAGGCAGCAGCGAGGAAUAUUGCGCAAUGGAGGAAACUCUGACGCAGUAACGCCGCGUGAGGGAGGAAGACCUUCGGGUUGUAAACCUCUUUUUGUAGAGACGAGCGAGGACGGUAUCUAUAGAAUAAGUCUCGGCUAACUACGUGCCAGCCGCCGCGGUAAGAC